rnacentral:lncRNA from 7 species
AUGAACGCCUGGUGCUGCUCGUGCAAAAUGGCCCUGUCGAGGUCGCUAUGGCCUGCGCCGGUGGACGAGCCCUUGGUGUUGGCCAUGCGGAGCCGGGACGUCGUCUGUGUAUGACCUGCAAGAGAAGAAGGGAAUGGCGGGGUCAGGUGGUGUGGUGUGGUGGUGGCCACGACUAUGUUGCCAUUGAAGAAUAAAAGGUUUAUUCUAGGACACAAUAAUCCCUCUGUGAAGAAACAUUUGUAUCAUUUACCCAAAAAACCCCAUCCUGAUGGUGAUCUCUUUGUGUUCUCCUGAAUCUGCUAUUUUUUGUAUAUUCCCUCCGUUUUUAAAUACAAUAUGUGAGGUUUACGAUUUUGAACUAACUGUGAAAAAUAAAAAUUGUGUUCUCUUAGCUUAGCUGUUGACCUCAAUCUCUUUAUUUGCUUUCAUAUUUUUGAGGAUCGUGAUGUGAAUGAGAGUCAUGAUCAUUGCCUACGACGAAGCGCUCUUAUUAUUCAGCAGCUUAACAUUUGUGUUGACUUUAGUUUAUAGUCCAUACUUUGUAAAGUUUGUUGUUGCAAAUGCUUCAGUUUGCUAGAUGUCAAUUUAGUAAAUGUCAGUGUGGUAGAUGUUCAGUUUGGCUUCUUCCUGUUUGAGACGAACUAUUUAGCACAUUGUUUUUUUUUCAUAUAUAUAUGGUUCAGUUCAAUUUCUAUUUGAAUACAUGGAUGUUUUACUUUUACAUAUGGUUCAGUUCACUUUCUUCCUGUUUGAGACCAACAAAAAAAACACUACAUAUCUUUACUUUCAGUUGGAGUAUGACAGUUUGAGCGUUUCAGUUUGAAAGCACUUCAAUUUGUUUAAGUUUGUCUGCACUUUUAGUUGGAGUACCAAGUGUGAGCACUCUCAGUUCUUGUUACUACAAGUCUGAAAUACGUCAUUUUCCUCUGUGGCGUACUAUGUAGCACGGUAUACACGGAAAUGCUUUGGGACAUUGGCUUUUCCCUGACCAUGUGACUCGUUUUAAAUAUUGGGCAAUUCAAUUUUGAGGGAGCUGCUGUGCGCCAAGGUGAUUUUAGCCUAUAAAAACGUGUGUGGUGCCCCUAAAAGCUGAUUUUGGGGCUGGUUUUUUUUCACAGACUGUUGGAGUUGCUCUAAGCCAACAGUUCUACCAUGACUUUACUCCACGCAACAGUCGCUUCGUGACGCCCGCCGCGACCUCCGCCUCGCGUCGUCGUUCCCCAGGAACUCCGACGCGCAGGACGAGCUGUAGGCCAGCAACGCCGAGGCCAACUUGGAAUAAUCUACCCACACAUUGUCAACGUCUCUCUAUCCUGCUUGGAGGAAUCCUCUCGUGGGGACUCCAUUGUUACAUCCGGAGAAGGUUAUUGUUGACCGGAAAGGAAACAUCAAGCUAUGAUUUGAAAUCGACAGCUUCAUAGAUGUGCUUGUCGUGGACCACAACUCCACAAGCACCGCCAGCUGUUCCGUCUCAAUCCUCAUGUAUACCAUUUGAAUAUGGGCAUUUUCACUUGAAUAAGAAUGAGAGGAUAGACACACAAUAUUCUGAAUUUGCAGACUUCCUCUUGUAAUUGUUCAGAAGUCGACGAUAUUCUUGCAGCACUAUUUUGAACCUAGAGUACACUAUGUGAUUCACUGACGUAAACACACUGCUUCUGAAUUUUCAGUAUGUGUACACAUAAUUGAUGUGUCCUCCUCGC